rnacentral:rRNA from 1 species
AUUGAACGCUGGCGGGAGGCCUUACACAUGCAAGUCGGGCGGAGCGGCGGACGGGUGAGUACUGUAUGGGGAUCUGCCCGAUGGAGGGGGAUAACUCCUGGAAACGGGCACUAAUACCGCAUACCUUCAGAUGAGCCUAGGGCGGAUUAGCUCGUUGGUGGGUGAAAGGCCUACCAAGGCGACGAUCCGUAACUGGUCUGAGAGGCUGACCAGUCACACUGGAACUGAGAGACGGUACAGACUCCUACGGGAGGCAGCAGGGGGGAAUAUUGGACAAUGGUCGAAACCCGGAUCCAGCCAUGCCGCGUGUGUGAUGAAGGUCUUCGGGUUGUAAAGCACUUUAAGUAGGGAGGCGGUACCUGCAGAAUAAGCACCGGCUAACUUCGUGCCAGCAGCCGCGGUAAUAC